AUUGAACGCUGGCGGCAUGCCUUACACAUGCAAGUCGAACGGCAGCACGGGUGCUUGCACCUGGUGGCGAGUGGCGAACGGGUGAGUAAUACAUCGGAACAUGUCCUGUAGUGGGGGAUAGCCCGGCGAAAGCCGGAUUAAUACCGCAUACGAUCUACGGCUGACAGCGGGGGACCUUCGGGCCUCGCGCUAUAGGGUUGGCCGAUGGCUGAUUAGCUAGUUGGUGGGGUAAAGGCCUACCAAGGCGACGAUCAGUAGCUGGUCUGAGAGGACGACCAGCCACACUGAGACUGAGACACGGCCCAGACUCCUACGGGAGGCAGCAGUGGGGAAUUUUGGACAAUGGGCGAAAGCCUGAUCCAGCAAUGCCGCGUGUGUGAAGAAGGCCUUCGGGUUUUAAAGCACUUUUGUCCGGAAAGAAAUCCUUGGCCCUAAUACGGUCGGGGGAUGACGGUACCGGAAGAAUAAGCACCGGCUAACUACGUG
rnacentral:rRNA from 1 species